UGUGUGUGUGUGUGUGUGUGUGUAUAAGGUGAAGGAUGCAAGUAAAUAGGGUUUCCCUGUAAGCAGGGCAAUGUGUGAAAUAUUUACCAAAGGAGAUGGCGUGGGCACAAUCAGAAUGGACACUGGACAUGGUCAGGACAAAUGCCAGCUGUAAACAACUAUUCCAGACUUACUGGUUCUUUUUAACAAGUUGCAACUGUGCGAUUAUUAUCAUUAGGAUAAUUAUAGUAUGGGAAGCUCUGAAACAUUUGAGUACUGUAUUAGUCUGGAUAACUAACGACUAGCUGCCACAAUAGACCAACUCUGAAAUGUUAGGGGCUUUACACAACUAAAAUUUUUUUUCUUGCUCACACAAAGUGGUGAUGUCAGCAGAGACUGUCUUCCACUCUGAGUCCCCAGUCCUCUCCAUCUUGUGAUGCUGCCGUAUUAGUGCAUCGAUUCCGAAGUCACUGCACAAGAGACGGAAGAGGGCUCCCCGUGAUUCUCACCCACCUUGACCUACAAGUGAUACAUGACGCUUCUGCUUACCUUUCACUGGCCAGAACUAGACACAUGCUCCAACCUAACUGCAAGAGUGGAAAAUGUAGGGGAGCACAUCAAUCGUUUUGUUAGAAUGAAGAUAUGCUGAUGGUGAGCCAGCUUUGUUUCUGUGAAGGCAUGAGGGCAAUGGAGGGGGUGCGUGUGGAGCCACAAGACAGAGGAAGAUUAGCCCUGAGCUAACAUCUGCUGCCAAUCCUCCUC